rnacentral:rRNA from 1 species
CACGUAGGGUGCGAGCGUUGUCCGGAAUUAUUGGGCGUAAAGAGCUCGUAGGCGGUGUGUCGCGUCGGCCGUGAAAACCUGCAGCUUAACUGUGGGCUUGCGGUCGAUACGGGCAUCACUGGAGUUCGGCAGGGGAGACUGGAAUUCCUGGUGUAGCGGUGAAAUUCGUAGAUAUCGGGAGGAACACCAGUGGCGAAGGCGGCGAUCUGGGUCGAUACUGACGCUGAGGUGCGAAAGCGUGGGGAGCAAACAGG